AGCGCAGGCGGAAGGCUAAGUCUGAUGUGAAAGCCCGGGGCUCAACCCCGGUACUGCAUUGGAAACUGGUCAUCUAGAGUGUCGGAGGGGUAAGUGGAAUUCCUAGUGUAGCGGUGAAAUGCGUAGAUAUUAGGAGGAACACCAGUGGCGAAGGCGGCUUACUGGACGAUAACUGACGCUGAGGCUCGAAAGCGUGGGGAGCAAACA
rnacentral:rRNA from 1 species